rnacentral:rRNA from 1 species
AACAGGAUUAGAUACCCUGGUAGUCCACGCCCUAAACGAUGUCUACUAGUUGUCGGGUUUUAAUUAACUUGGUAACGCAGCUAACGCGUGAAGUAGACCGCCUGGGGAGUACGGUCGCAAGAUUAAAACUCAAAGGAAUUGACGGGGACCCGCACAAGCGGUGGAUGAUGUGGAUUAAUUCGAUGCAACGCGAAAAACCUUACCUACCCUUGACAUGUCAGGAAUCCCGAAGAGAUUUGGGAGUGCUCGAAAGAGAGCCUGAACACAGGUGCUGCAUGGCUGUCGUCAGCUCGUGUCGUGAGAUGUUGGGUUAAGUCCCGCAACGAGCGCAACCCUUGUCAUUAGUUGCUACGCAAGAGCACUCUAAUGAGACUGCCGGUGACAAACCGGAGGAAGGUGGGGAUGACGUCAAGUCCUCAUGGCCCUUAUGGGUAGGGCUUCACACGUCAUACAAUGGUACAUACAGAGGGCCGCCAACCCGCGAGGGGGAGCUAAUCCCAGAAAGUGUAUCGUAGUCCGGAUUGUAGUCUGCAACUCGACUACAUGAAGUUGGGAUCGCUAGUAAUCGCGGAUCAGCAUGUCGCGGUGAAUACGUUCCCGGGUCUUGUACACACCGCCCGUCACACCAUGGGAGCGGGUUUUACCAGAAGUAGGUAGCUUAACCGUAAGGAGGGCGCUUACCACGGUAGGAUUCGUGACUGGGGUGAAGUCGUAACAAGGUAACC